rnacentral:rRNA from 1 species
UACGUAGGUGGCAAGCGUUGUCCGGAUUUAUUGGGCGUAAAGAGCGUGUAGGCGGCCAGGUAGGUCUGCUGUGAAAACUCGAGGCUCAACCUCGAGACGUCGGCGGAAACCAUCUGGCUAGAGUCCGGAAGAGGAGAGUGGAAUUCCUGGUGUAGCGGUGAAAUGCGCAGAUAUCAGGAAGAACACCCGUGGCGAAGGCGGCUCUCUGGGACGGGUACUGACGCUGAGACGCGAAAGCGUGGGGAGCGAACAGG